rnacentral:lncRNA from 1 species
GUUGAGAGCCCCUGUGAAUUUGUCAUAGUGUACAAGAGGAUAAGGACUGAACUGUGGGUAUAGGCUUGCCUUUGUGCACACAAGAGGUCACAAUGGUGUGUGCAUGUGGGAGUGCUGCACGCCUCGGUGCCCAGGAAGACAUUGUGUAACCAUGUGGACUAGUGUGGGUGUCCAGGGGGCAGGCAUGCGGCAUCUUCGUGCCCAGCGGACAUUGCAAGCGUGGUUCCUGGUGGUGAUGCACGAACACUGUGUGUGGCUCUGUAUACUUGGCUGUGUGCACAAGGAAGCUCGCGGCACGGGCAUUGUGUUUCUGCGGCUGCAUUUUUACAGGGCAGUGGCGGUGCUGGUGCCGGCGGUGGGGGUGAUGCUGAUGGCACCGUGUGGGGAGACUGUGCUGCGGGAGCUAUGCCUGCUGCCCACUAGGUCAUCAGUUUGUCACAAAGACUUAGACACUCUCUAGCGGAACCUGGAAGAGAAGAGGAAAUCUUGGUUCUGAGUGAAGGGCUACUGGAGAGAGAGUGAUGGAAUGGGAGAGAAGGAGGAAUUCAAGAAAAGAGGAAGAGCCAGGUAUGGUGGCGCACGUCUGUAAUUCCAGCACUUGGGAGGCUGAGGCAGGAGGAUCGUUGCAAGUUCAAGGCC